rnacentral:rRNA from 1 species
GACGAACGCUGGCGGCGUGCUUAACACAUGCAAGUCGAACGGAAAGGCCCUGCUUUUGUGGGGUGCUCGAGUGGCGAACGGGUGAGUAACACGUGAGUAACCUGCCCUUGACUUUGGGAUAACUUCAGGAAACUGGGGCUAAUACCGGAUAGGAGCUCCUGCUGCAUGGUGGGGGUUGGAAAGUUUCGGCGGUUGGGGAUGGGCUCGCGGCUUAUCAGCUUGUUGGUGGGGUAGUGGCUUACCAAGGCUUUGACGGGUAGCCGGCCUGAGAGGGUGACCGGCCACAUUGGGACUGAGAUACGGCCCAGACUCCUACGGGAGGCAGCAGUGGGGAAUAUUGCACAAUGGGCGGAAGCCUGAUGCAGCAACGCCGCGUGCGGGAUGACGGCCUUCGAGUUGUAAACCGCUUUCGCCUGUGACGAAGCGUGAGUGACGGUAAUGGGUAAAGAAGCACCGGCUAACUACGUG